AAUGUCCUUAUCAUGGGGUCGCAUUACUGUACAAUGAACACCUAAUGAGAACAGUACUGCUAACAUCUAUACAACAUAAAAGCAUCCUUGAGGCAUGUUUUGCACAA